GACGAACGCUGGCGGCGUGCCUAAUACAUGCAAGUAGAACGCUGAAGGAGGAGCUUGCUUCUCUGGAUGAGUUGCGAACGGGUGAGUAACGCGUAGGUAACCUGCCUGGUAGCGGGGGAUAACUAUUGGAAACGAUAGCUAAUACCGCAUAAUAGUAGAUGUUGCAUGACAUUUGCUUAAAAGGUGCAAUUGCAUCACUACCAGAUGGACCUGCGUUGUAUUAGCUAGUUGGUGGGGUAACGGCUCACCAAGGCGACGAUACAUAGCCGACCGGAGAGGGUGAACAGCCACACUGGGAACGAGACAAGGCCCAGACUCCUACGGGAGGGAGUAGUAGGGAAUCUUCGGCAAUGGACGGAAGGCUGACCGAGCAACGCCGCGUGAGUGAAGAAGGGUUUCGGAGCGGAAAGCUCGGUUGUAAGAGAAGAACGAGUGUGAGAGUGGAAAGUUCACACUGUGACGGUAUCUUACCAGAAAGGGACGGCUAACUACGUG
rnacentral:rRNA from 1 species